UAGGGAAUCUUCCGCAAUGGACGCAAGUCUGACGGAGCAACGCCGCGUGAGUGAAGAAGGAUCUCGGUUCGUAAAACUCUGUUGUUAGAGAAGAACAGCGCAUAGAGUAACUGUUAUGCGUGUGACGGUAUCUAACCAGAAAGCCACGGCUAACUACGUGCCAGCAGCCGCGGUAAUACGUAGGUGGCAAGCGUUGUCCGGAUUUAUUGGGCGUAAAGCGAGCGCAGGCGGUCAAUUAAGUCUGAUGUGAAAGCCCCCGGCUCAACCGGGGAGGGUCAUUGGAAACUGGUUGACUUGAGUGCAGAAGAGGAGAGUGGAAUUCCAUGUGUAGCGAUGAAAUGCGUAGAUAUAUGAAGGAACACCAGUGGCGAAGGCGACUCUCUGGUCUGGAACUGACGCUGAGGUUCGAAAGCGUGGGUAGCAAACAGG
rnacentral:rRNA from 1 species